rnacentral:rRNA from 1 species
GUGAACCAGCGGAGGGAUCAUUACCGAGUUUACAACUCCCAAACCCAAUGUGAACGUUACCAAACCGUUGCCUCGGCGGGAUCUCUGCCCCGGGUGCGUCGCAGCCCCGGACCAAGGCGCCCGCCGGAGGACCAACCAAAACUCUUWUUGUAUACCCCCUCGCGGGUUUUUUAUAAUCUGAGCCUUCUCGGCGCCUCUCGUAGGCGUUUCGAAAAUGAAUCAAAACUUUCAACAACGGAUCUCUUGGUUCUGGCAUCGAUGAAGAACGCAGCGAAAUGCGAUAAGUAAUGUGAAUUGCAGAAUUCAGUGAAUCAUCGAAUCUUUGAACGCACAUUGCGCCCGCCAGUAUUCUGGCGGGCAUGCCUGUCCGAGCGUCAUUUCAACCCUCGAACCCCUCCGGGGGGUCGGCGUUGGGGAUCGGCCCUCCCUUAGCGGGGGCCGUCUCCGAAAUACAGUGGCGGUCUCGCCGCAGCCUCUCCUGCGCAGUAGUUUGCACACUCGCAUCGGGAGCGCGGCGCGUCCACAGCCGUUAAACACCCAACUUCUGAAAUGUUGACCUCGGAUCAGGUAGGAAUACCCGCUGAACUUAAGCAUAUCAAUAAGCGG